UAUUGUUGUAUGUGGGUGUAGUGGGUGUUUCUCGAUGAUUGUUGUGAAUGGCAGGAGUCUUUUUAUUUCUCAGUUCGUAUUUCCGAGCCGUAUGUUAAUUUUUACCAGCUAAAAUUCAAAGCCCUCCAGGAUGGACUCUCAGAAGUUCUGCCUCAAAUGGGACUGGUUCCAGGGCAGCGUCACGUCUGUGUUUGACCAGCUCUGCUGUGGAGGGGAGCUGCUGGACGUCACGCUCUGCUGUGAGGGACAGCGUGUCUGGACCCACAGGAUGAUGCUGUCUGCCUGCAGUCUGUACUUCAGGGAACUGCUCAAGGCUCGGCGGCUAAUGCUCCGGGCUCCUUACCGUUGACGGAGGAGAGUCUUCUUCGCCGCUGCGAGAACUCACUGAACUACCCUCUCGCCCCGCGCCAUCUGCGCCGUCCUCACCGCCGGCCGAUCCGACCAACGAGAAUGACACAGACGCCCUCCGGCACUGCUGGCAGAGGAAACUGAAGGAGAGUGUCGCUGCCAGACUACCCGAGGGCGCCUUUCUGCACCAGCCGCCGUCCCGGUACAUUUUCCCCGGAGCGGAGGUGCUGGUCGACCCCGAUGACUCUGGCAGUGACAGAGAUUCGCUGGGCUCGGAGCGCGGCAGUGACGAUGAGUCUGUGACCGCUGACGACCAUCUAAACCACUCCUCGGACACGCCAGAGACGACCGUCACGCCUCCACACACCGACUCCUGUCCUCCAACUCCUCCCGGACGGGUUACUCUCUCUGCGGCAUCAUCAGGAGCGGCGUCUUCAACAUCGGCUGCUGCAGUGGAGACUUCAGCCAGACCGACGGUGUCAAACCUUUGUCGGAAGAUGCGGAGUCGGAGCCCGCCACGGUGGGUUGUUGGGCUCAGCCCUGAAAAGGCCGCUCAGUGACACACUAGCAAAGGACGAGGGGGAUGUGAAGAGACGACCGGCGCUCGGCGGUGGUAGUGGCGAGCCUGAUGGUUCUCCCAUCACCGCGCCGCCAACGCUGGAGGCAGUGGCGGCGCGGGAAGUGCGCCGGAAAAUGCCACCGGCGCGGCUGACGAGAUCAG